rnacentral:rRNA from 1 species
UACAGAGGUCCCAAGCGUUGUUCGGAUUCAUUGGGCGUAAAGGGUGUGUAGGUGGCGCCGUAAGUCGGGUGUGAAAUCUCGGGGCUUAACUCCGAAACUGCAUUCGAUACUGCGGUGCUUGAGGACUGGAGAGGAGACUGGAAUUCAUGGUGUAGCAGUGAAAUGCGUAGAGAUCAUGAGGAAGACCAGUGGCGAAGGCGGGUCUCUGGACAGUUCCUGACACUGAGACACGAAGGCCAGGGGAGCAAAACGGG